rnacentral:rRNA from 1 species
AUUGAACGCUGGCGGCAUGCCUUACACAUGCAAGUCGAACGGCAGCACGGGUGCUUGCACCUGGUGGCGAGUGGCGAACGGGUGAGUAAUACAUCGGAACAUGUCCUGUAGUGGGGGAUAGCCCGGCGAAAGCCGGAUUAAUACCGCAUACGAUCUACGGAUGAAAGCGGGGGACCUUCGGGCCUCGCGCUAUAGGGUUGGCCGAUGGCUGAUUAGCUAGUUGGUGGGGUAAAGGCCUACCAAGGCGACGAUCAGCAGCUGGUCUGAGAGGACGACCAGCCACACUGGGACUGAGACACGGCCCAGACUCCUACGGGAGGCAGCAGUGGGGAAUUUUGGACAAUGGGCGAAAGCCUGAUCCAGCAAUGCCGCGUGUGUGAAGAAGGCCUUCGGGUUGUAAAGCACUUUUGUCCGGAAAGAAAUCCUUGGCUCUAAUACGGUCGGGGGAUGACGGUACCGGAAGAAUAAGCACCGGCUAACUACGUG